GCCUAUUGUUCCGAUGGCCACGUCCGCUCGAGCCCUGCUUGCGAUCUCUGCUCUACUUGCCGUGUUUUCUCACGAAAGCUUGCAAAAUGUGAUGUCCAACCAGGAAGGAAUAUGGAGUUGCCAAUUCAUACAAAAUUAUGAACCAGAACCGUUAGUAUUAGUACAUGGUAAUGGCGAAGCGAUUAAUAACAAUGUCUUUCAUAAAUUAAAAAAAAUAAUAAAGAAAUCUAAACAAGACAUUAAAGAACUUUUAAGAAAGAGGAAAGAGAAGAAAAUUUUAAAGAAGCAACAACUAGAUGAAAUGUCACGGAUAAAUUCUUUGAAAUAUGAACAAAUUAUGCAGAAAUGGCAAAUGAAGUUGAAUGUUUUGCCCCGUAAGAAGAGAUCAGCAAAUGAGUUGCAAAAUUUCUUCAAUCGUAUUAAAAAUAUAAUUCCAAGUUAUUUACGUGGGAAAGUAAAACCUGCUGUGGAUAAAAAGAAAGGAAAUGUGUCUAGAAGCAUUAAAAGGCACCAUGGGCACAGAACACGAAAACCCCAUAGAAAACAACGCCAUACGACCUUAAAGACGACAACAGUACGACAAAAAUGAAA